CAGCCGCCGCGGUAAAACAGAGGGUGCGAGCGUUAAUCGGAUUUACUGGGCGUAAAGCGUGCGUAGGCGGCUUCUUAAGUCGGAUGUGAAAUCCCUGAGCUUAACUUAGGAAUUGCAUUCGAUACUGGGAAGCUAGAGUAUGGGAGAGGAUGGUAGAAUUCCAGGUGUAGCGGUGAAAUGCGUAGAGAUCUGGAGGAAUACCGAUGGCGAAGGCAGCCAUCUGGCCUAAUACUGACGCUGAGGUACGAAAGCAUGGGGAGCAAACAGGAUUAGAUACCCGUGUAGUCCCUGUCUCUUAUAC
rnacentral:rRNA from 1 species